UCAGUUCAGAUUGCAAGCUGCAACCCGCCUGCAUGAAGUCGGAAUUGCCAGUAAUCGCGGAUCAGCAUGCCGCGGUGAAUACGUUCCCGGGCCUUGUGCACACCGCCCGUCACACCAUGGGAGCCGGUAAUACCCGAAGUCAGUAGUCCAACCACGUGAGGACGCUGCCGAAGGUAGGAUUGGCGACUGGGGUGAAGUCGUAACAAGGUAUC
rnacentral:rRNA from 1 species